rnacentral:lncRNA from 1 species
AAACAAACGGCCUGCUUGUACCUGCUAUCGCCCUCUAAGCUUCAGGUGGUGGGUGGGGCUGAGGGGCUGAGAGGUGGCCCCAAAGAAAGACAACCACAUCCUAAACCCUGGAACCCGUGAACAAGGCUUCAUUUGGAACACCAGUCUUUGAAGAUCCACCGGACAUUCCUGAUGAGUGACCCUGGCUGCAGAUGGCUCUUGGUGAGUCUCCGUUGACCGGGUGGUUCGGGCCAAAGGACCUUGCCGUGCGAUGCCUCCAUGGAGCUCGGCGGCCACCCCUAAUCCGGGCUGGAAUCCUCUGGCACCAGACGCCCGGCGGGGCUCCAAGGCUCCUGGGCCCACGCCAGGCCCCGGCCUGAAACGCAGCACUGCUGGAAUAAAACACGCCAGAGAAGCAGGGCGCUAGGCUCGCCUGGAUUUGGGGAAACGAGAAUUGUCAUGUCUUCUCCCUCCGUAGGUUGGUGUUAAUGAAAAACCCCCUUUUCAGCAUGGACUAAAUCCCGCUAAUUCUAUUUAGGGAGCAGUGUCUACUCCGGGCCGGGAACUGCUCCGGUUUCCAACCGCAGCCUCCCGUGAGGGUCCCAGUGUGGAGGGCCGGGGUCAUCCCCUCACUCUGGGAUGGCUCCCAACCCGCUGACCUGGCCUCCCCGUCAGGCACCCUCACAGCUCUGUCAGACUCUUCAUGUGAUCAGCGCUCCUGGGAACAUUAGUUUAGGGUGUUUUCUGCUGCUGGGAUGGUGGCCCGGGAGGGACCCUCCUGGUGACCCUGCUGGGCCUGGCCCUCAGUUUCCCCAGCCGUAGGCUGGCAGCCUCGAACUGUACGAGCUCCAGGCCACAGUUUCCCC